rnacentral:snoRNA from 1 species
AAACUGUGAUGCGGGCACUUUCUCAAAAAGUUCUUGAAUCUUUCCCAAGCUUCAUACAGGCUUUCUUGAUCAUGGUGAGCAAAUGUCAUUAUCUCAUUGCGCAGUUU